rnacentral:rRNA from 1 species
AUGGAAGAAUACGGAGAAGUUUAUUGCUCCGUGGAGAAGUGGUGCACGCUGGUCAGCCAGUUAAACGCCAGGCAACGAACGCGGCUACGUGGCACCAGCUUGCAGAAUUUUUUGCAGAUACCUAGCAUGCAAAUGCGAAAGUGUUUGCUUAAAUACAUCAUUCAAAAAUAUGACCCGAUUAAAAAAAGAUUCGUGUUGCGUCCGACAAAAGGUGGCAUAUCCUUGCGGACGGAUGAUGUCUUUCAUAUUUUUGGCCUUGUGAAUAAGGGCAAAGAUGUUAUGAAGGCAUUAGGUAAAAUGGACGAGUACGUGAAGGAAAUGGUUCCUUCUAAGUUCGUAGACGCGCGAAGUGGAGAAAUAGUGAUCGAUCAGUUGAUCAACAACAUAGUUUCGAGUGGGACGUAUGAUGACGACUUUGUGCGGCGAGCGGUAUUAGUCCUCAUUGGCACAAUAAUAGCACCGCACUCCACCAGACAUGUUCCACAUUUUCUUUACCAGUUGGUGGAGGACGUCGAAGCCAUAAAAUCAUAUAACUGGAAUGCGUUCACGUUACGCGUCUGCAUUGAAGGAAUCACAAAGACUGUUAAAGAUGUUAAAAAAUUCAAGUGGCCUGUUGGAAAUCUGGCGCUCAUCCAGUACAUGUACUGGGAGAAGGUGCAACCAACUUUAGUAGAAACAUUCGAUCCUUUGUUGUCGGAGUACCCAUUGAUGGUAAAUUGGUCCGAAAUGGAGGCUAAGAAGCGUGACAUAUAUGACAACGAGAACGACCGUGGUCAUGGCACGAUUGAUGAUUUAAUAAGCGAACAAUAUAGACAUGCCAGAAUAGCAAAAGAAGCAAUAAUCGAAGAGGAAGAUACCGAGCCACCUUCACCUAAAGGUGGAGGCAGAACUAGAAAAGGUUGUAAGCCCACAGCUUCAUCGAGCAGAGGCGGUACGAAAGAACACUUCAUGAAAUGCAUAAGAGAUAUGCAGAAAGAGAUACGUCUAAUUCCUGAGAAAUGUGCUGAGAUAUUGCUCAACAAGCUAAGUAAGAAGGGUUUGCUGGUGAAGCGAAGUUGGGACUUCCGUGAUGACCGCGCUUUUGAGGACGAAAGUGAUGAGUUGGUGAGAAAGUACAAGCCAAAGUAUCAUACGGAAGUUACUUCAUCUCCUUUGGAAGAACGCGAGGAGGAGGAGAUGGAUGCAUCCUUCACGGGUCCAAAUGGUACGAACUUUCCCAAUGACGAAGGCAUGCCCAGUACACCUGGUAAAGGUGUUGAAAACGACCCCUUUAUUAUUGAGGAUAAUGGUUCACCCAAGGAAGCAUCACCAUCAUUAGGCACGAAUGAUUUUCCUUCUCUUACUAGAAACCCACAGAAAGAAAAUGCAGUAUCAGUCGGGUCUAGUGCUGAAAAUUCAGCGGAAGGUACUUACCCUAGUCCGGCAACAAUCUGUAAGGACGCGAUUAAUAAUGGGACUGAGGAGCAUGAUGGGAAGCGGAAACGCCAACAGUCAAAGUAUUGUCGGUCCCCCUUUAUUAUUGAGGACGGUCCACACAAACGUGUGAAAAAAAGUCUGUUUCGUAUGCGUGAUGUUCUCCUUAGUACGGACUUUAUGGAUGAGAAUCAGAUAGAGGGGGCGAGGAUUUAUAUCGACACGCUAGCAGACUCGCCGAAGCAUUGUAAGCAGACUGUGGUCCACAUGACGAGAAUAGGUGGGGAAACGUGUACGGCGGAAAUGCUUCAAGCUAUCACUUCGGGCGACUGGUUGAAUGGCGCUGUCAUGGCUGAUCGGCAUGUUCUAACAUCAUGGGUGUCAUACUGCCUCAUACAGCGCGCUAAAGGAAAGCUGAAAAACUCGAACAUGAACUACAUGGAAUUUUUCACGAAAGAAUCAAAAACUGUGUCAAGAGUAAUUGACGAGUACUUCGCAAAAGAUAAGGCAUUUUUCCCUCUGAAUGUGAACAAGAAUCAUUGGAUAACCAUUGUCAUGCACACGAAGAAGAAAGAGUUUCAAGUUCUAAAUUCUACUGGUAAAAUAAGCAAGGCAGUUCAUGCGAAGAUUGCUUUGAUGAGGGCAGAAAUUGCUGUAGAUACAAAUCAGGUCAACUCUGCUAUAGGUACACAUCAUCCAGAUGUGUCUAAAUGGCCAAUAAAGGAGUACAAAAUGCCGAGACAAAGUGACGGAGUGUCUUGCGGACUUUUCGUGAUGAAAUGCAUCGAACUCUGGGACGGGGAUGCCUUCAGACAUGACUUUGACCAGGACGAGAUCAAUUCUUCAAGGGGACGCAUUCUCGCGGAAAUACUUUUUUCAGAGAGCAACACACUGACUAAGGUGAAGGAGAAGAUUCUGAAAAUUAUGGAGAAGGAAUAA